rnacentral:rRNA from 1 species
AGAGUUUGAUCCUGGCUCAGGAUGAACGCUGGCGGCGUGCUUAACACAUGCAAGUCGAACGAACCUUCGGGUUAGUGGCGGACGGGUGAGUAACGCGUGGGAAUCUGCCCUCAGGAGGGGGAUAACGGCUGGAAACGGCCGCUAAUACCCCAUAUGCCGAGAGGUGAAAUGAAUUUCGCCUGAGGAUGAGCCCGCGUCUGAUUAGCUAGUUGGUGAGGUAAUGGCUCACCAAGGCUUCGAUCAGUAGCUGGUCUGAGAGGAUGAUCAGCCACACUGGGACUGAGACACGGCCCAGACUCCUACGGGAGGCAGCAGUGGGGAAUUUUCCGCAAUGGGCGAAAGCCUGACGGAGCAACGCCGCGUGAGGGAUGAAGGCCUCUGGGCUGUAAACCUCUUUUCUCAAGGAAGAAGAUCUGACGGUACUUGAGGAAUAAGCCACGGCUAAUUCCGUGCCAGCAGCCGCGGUAAUACGGGAGUGGCAAGCGUUAUCCGGAAUUAUUGGGCGUAAAGCGUCCGCAGGCGGCCUUUCAAGUCUGCUGUUAAAGCGUGGAGCUUAACUCCAUCAAGGCAGUGGAAACUGUUGGGCUUGAGUGUGGUAGGGGCAGAGGGAAUUCCCGGUGUAGCGGUGAAAUGCGUAGAUAUCGGGAAGAACACCAGUGGCGAAGGCGCUCUGCUGGGCCAUAACUGACGCUCAUGGACGAAAGCCAGGGGAGCGAAAGGGAUUAGAUACCCCUGUAGUCCUGGCCGUAAACGAUGAACACUAGGUGUCGGGGGAAUCGACCCCUUCGGUGUCGUAGCCAACGCGUUAAGUGUUCCGCCUGGGGAGUACGCACGCAAGUGUGAAACUCAAAGGAAUUGACGGGGGCCCGCACAAGCGGUGGAGUAUGUGGUUUAAUUCGAUGCAACGCGAAGAACCUUACCAGGGUUUGACAUCCUGCGAACCUCUAAGAAAUUGGAGGGUGCCUUCGGGAACGCAGUGACAGGUGGUGCAUGGCUGUCGUCAGCUCGUGUCGUGAGAUGUUGGGUUAAGUCCCGCAACGAGCGCAACCCACGUUUUUAGUUGCCAGCAUUCAGUUGGGCACUCUAGAGAGACCGCCGGUGAUAAACCGGAGGAAGGUGUGGAUGACGUCAAGUCAUCAUGCCCCUUACAUCCUGGGCUACACACGUACUACAAUGCUACGGACAAAGGGCAGCAAACUCGCGAGAGCUAGCAAAUCCCAUAAACCGUGGCUCAGUUCAGAUCGUAGGCUGCAACUCGCCUACGUGAAGUAGGAAUCGCUAGUAAUCGCAGGUCAGCAUACUGCGGUGAAUACGUUCCCGGGCCUUGUACACACCGCCCGUCACACCAUGGAAGUUGGCCACGCCCGAAGUCGUUACUCCAACCCUUGUGGAGGAGGACGCCGAAGGUGGGGCUGAUGACUGGGGUGAAGUCGUAACAAGGUAGCCGUACCGGAAGGUGCGGCUG